rnacentral:rRNA from 1 species
UGGGGAAUUUUGGACAAUGGGCGCAAGCCUGAUCCAGCCAUGCCGCGUGUCUGAAGAAGGCCUUCGGGCUGUAAAGGACUUUUGUCAGGGAAGAAAAGGCUGUUGCUAAUAUCGACAGCUGAUGACGGUACCUGAAGAAUAAGCACCGGCUAACUACGUGCCAGCAGCCGCGGUAAUACGUAGGGUGCGAGCGUUAAUCGGAAUUACUGGGCGUAAAGCGAGCGCAGACGGUUACUUAAGCAGGAUGUGAAAUCCCCGGGCUCAACCUGGGAACUGCGUUCUGAACUGGGUGACUAGAGUGUGUCAGAGGGAGGUAGAAUUCCACGUGUAGCAGUGAAAUGCGUAGAGAUGUGGAGGAAUACCGAUGGCGAAGGCAGCCUCCUGGGAUAACACUGACGUUCAUGCUCGAAAGCGUGGGUAGCAAACAGGAUUAGAUACCCUGGUAGUCCACGCCCUAAACGAUGUCAAUUAGCUGUUGGGCAACUUGAUUGCUUAGUAGCGUAGCUAACGCGUGAAAUUGACCGCCUGGGGAGUACGGUCGCAAGAUUA